GCGGCACCUCUACCGCAGUGCACCUGCUAUGAUGAGGACAGGCUUUUUCUAACUCCUCUAGCAAGCAUUAGCCAAUAAUUUAGGGCAAAUCCUAUUUUUGAUCAUUUGGAUCUUACAAUGUCACCGAGAGUGAAAUCUUUCCAGGACGUUACACAAAAGGCACAGAAAAACGUGGUCCCCAAAUCCCUGCACAGACUGAGAUAAAGACCACAAGCCGAGGAAGAAGAAAAAUUAAGAUAUGGAAGGGUUUUAAAAAACCAGGACAAAAAAACUUCAAAGGCAGGUAACAAAUAUGCAGCUCGCUACAAAUGAAAGCCCAAUGAGAAGUGGAAAGGCAGUUUUCAGCCACAGACUCACAUCAGGAUAAUUUCCCCACCCAAAAUUUAUGCCUCUUAUCUGGCUCCCAGAAACACAUCUUACCAUCAUCACCUCCCCUUGAAUUUCUCAGGGCAUGUAAUGAACCCAUAUAAGCAGACUAAUAAAACUUCCAUGAGGGAGUGGAGAUUGUUGUGCUCCUCUCUUACA